rnacentral:lncRNA from 1 species
UCCCAUAUCAACUCGUACGUCCCCAUACAUCACUGUCCCCUCAUUGUUCGAGACGUCUUGGGGACGUUUAUGAGCCGUCCCAAUGCUGUCCUGUUUCCGAAACGUCUCCGGUAAGUGAGACGGCUAGUGAUAGACGUACCCUUGCAUCCUAGCCACUAAACCAAAAUGUCCAUUAAUUUUAACGGCGCACACGGCUUUAUACUUCUCCGGCAAACUUUAUUUUCCAGUAUAGUCCGGAAGUUACACACAUUGACUUAUUCAAGAACCUCCCCCUCUUCCAUCGACGACCAGAAA